rnacentral:lncRNA from 1 species
AAGGCUGUGGAUUGCCUGGUGGAUGCCUUUCGGGGAGGCAUCAGGUGGAGAUCUAGUAGAAGAAGGAGAAGAGGAUGUCGGAGAAGAUGAUCGGAGAUAGUCCCGUUGAGCACUCCUUUAAGAAUAAGGGUACUGCAAAGACACAGCCACCCUUCCUCUAGCGCCAAUUCUGUUGGUGCAGAAUUCCAUCGAAGCCAGAGAAGCUGGAGCUGAGAUGACCGCGGCCACCGUCGGGACCUACAAGGAAAGUCUAAACCAGAGUUGGGGGUGCUCCGGCAA